GGGACACGUGGUAUCCUGUCUGAAUAUGGGGGGACCAUCCUCCAAGGCUAAAUACUCCUGACUGACCGAUAGUGAACCAGUACCGUGAGGGAAAGGCGAAAAGAACCCCGGCGAGGGGAGUGAAAAAGAACCUGAAACCGUGUACGUACAAGCAGUGGGAGCACCUUCGGGUGUGACUGCGUACCUUUUGUAUAAUGGGUCAGCGACUUAUAUUCUGUAGCAAGGUUAACCGUAUAGGGGAGCCGCAGGGAAACCGAGUCUUAACUGGGCGUUAAGUUGCAGGGUAUAGACCCGAAACCCGGUGAUCUAGCCAUGGGCAGGUUGAAGGUUGGGUAACACUAACUGGAGGACCGAACCGACUAAUGUUGAAAAAUUAGCGGAUGACUUGUGGCUGGGGGUGAAAGGCCAAUCAAACCGGGAGAUAGCUGGUUCUCCCCGAAAGCUAUUUAGGUAGCGCCUCGUGAAUUCAUCUUCGGGGGUAGAGCACUGUUUCGGCUAGGGGGUCAUCCCGACUUACCAACCCGAUGCAAACUACGAAUACCGAAGAAUGUUAUCACGGGAGACACACGGCGGGUGCUAACGUCCGUCGUGAAGAGGGAAACAACCCAGACCGCCAGCUAAGGUCCCAAAGUCAUGGUUAAGUGGGAAACGAUGUGGGAAGGCACAGACAGCCAGGAUGUUGGCUUAGAAGCAGCCAUCAUUUAAAGAAAGCGUAAUAGCUCACUGGUCGAGUCGGCCUGCGCGGAAGAUGUAACGGGGCUAAACCAUGCACCGAAGCUGCGGCAGCGACACUAUGUGUUGUUGGGUAGGGGAGCGUUCUGUAAGCCUGCGAAGGUGACCUGUGAGGGUUGCUGGAGGUAUCAGAAGUGCGAAUGCUGACAUAAGUAACGAUAAAGCGGGUGAAAAGCCCGCUCGCCGGAAGACCAAGGGUUCCUGUCCAACGUUAAUCGGGGCAGGGUGAGUCGACCCCUAAGGCGAGGCCGAAAGGCGUAGUCGAUGGGAAACAGGUUAAUAUUCCUGUACUUGGUGUUACUGCGAAGGGGGGACGGAGAAGGCUAUGUUAGCCGGGCGACGGUUGUCCCGGUUUAAGCAUGUAGGCUGGUUAUCCAGGCAAAUCCGGAUAAUCAAGGCUGAGGUGUGAUGACGAGGCACUACGGUGCUGAAGUAACAAAUGCCCUGCUUCCAGGAAAAGCCUCUAAGCAUCAGGUAACAUCAAAUCGUACCCCAAACCGACACAGGUGGUCAGGUAGAGAAUACCAAGGCGCUUGAGAGAACUCGGGUGAAGGAACUAGGCAAAAUGGUGCCGUAACUUCGGGAGAAGGCACGCUGGUGUGUAGGUGAAGUCCCUGCGGAUGGAGCUGAGACCAGUCGAAGAUACCAGCUGGCUGCAACUGUUUAUUAAAAACACAGCACUGUGCAAACACGAAAGUGGACGUAUACGGUGUGACGCCUGCCCGGUGCCGGAAGGUUAAUUGAUGGGGUUAUCCGUAAGGAGAAGCUCUUGAUCGAAGCCCCGGUAAACGGCGGCCGUAACUAUAACGGUCCUAAGGUAGCGAAAUUCCUUGUCGGGUAAGUUCCGACCUGCACGAAUGGCGUAAUGAUGGCCAGGCUGUCUCCACCCGAGACUCAGUGAAAUUGAACUCGCUGUGAAGAUGCAGUGUACCCGCGGCAAGACGGAAAGACCCCGUGAACCUUUACUAUAGCUUGACACUGAACAUUGAGCCUUGAUGUGUAGGAUAGGUGGGAGGCUUUGAAGCGUGGACGCCAGUCUGCGUGGAGCCAACCUUGAAAUACCACCCUUUAAUGUUU
rnacentral:rRNA from 1 species